rnacentral:rRNA from 1 species
AACGAACGCUGGCGGCAUGCCUAACACAUGCAAGUCGAACGAGACCUUCGGGUCUAGUGGCGCACGGGUGCGUAACGCGUGGGAACCUGCCCUUAGGUUCGGAAUAACUCCCCGAAAGGGGUGCUAAUACCGGAUAAUGUCUUCGGACCAAAGAUUUAUCGCCUUUGGAUGGGCCCGCGUUGGAUUAGCUAGUUGGUAGGGUAAAAGCCUACCAAGGCGACGAUCCAUAGCUGGUCUGAGAGGAUGAUCAGCCACACUGGGACUGAGACACGGCCCAGACCCCUCGGGGGGGCAGCAGUGGGGAAUAUGGGAAAAGGGGCGAAAGCCUGACCCAGCAAGGCCGGGUGAGUGAUGAAGGCCUUGGGGUUGUAAAGCUUUUUUCCCCGGGAUGAUAAUGACAGUACCGGGAGAAUAAGCCCCGGCAAACUCCGU